CAAAAAAGGUUGAGAAACACUGCACUAGAGCGUAAUGCAUCAACCUUACACACCCAGGCAGCCAUACACCUACAUGAACAACAGAAGCGUCGAGUCACAGACACUGCUUCCAAUCUGGAGUCAAAACAUGUGUUGACCCUAGCAACACUUCUAGACCCCAGCUUUACAUCACUUGGGUUCCGCAGUUCCUCCAAAGGCAUCAGCAGACUGUGGUCAGCAUGUGCGCCUAUGAUCGGACGCACAAAUGAGCCCCAGCUGGGACCAUCUUCACAACAGCGGUCUGUACCCAACUCCGCCAUGUUAUUCAGCACUAUUUGUUUGUUGUUUGGACAUUAUGUACUAAAAUGGCAAUUUGUUUUUAGAUAACCUUUGGCACCAUCUUGACACUGAAUAGGCAGAUGGACCAAAAGUGCCACAGCUGAUGCCAUCCAGGAGGUGCAGAGAUACCUUGCAGAGGGCAAUAUUGGCAGAUGUCAGGAUCCAAUAACACACUGGUUCAACAUCCUCAAAACUCACGCAGCAUACUAGUUCCAUGGCAACGACUGCAUCGUUCCUCACCUCUUCCUUCUUUGAAGAGUGUUGAAAGAAUAUGACGACCUAUUCACUAGCCUGGGGAUGUAGAAUUAGUUUGGGUCACAAACCAAAGGGUACCACCUUCCCCCAUCAAUUGUGUCCAGAUCCUGAAGCACCAAAUCAUCAACAGACCGUCACACUACCACCACCGACUUUGA